rnacentral:rRNA from 1 species
CGUAGUUGGAGUUCAGAGUGAGCUCAGCUGGUCGGCCUAAUGGGUCAGAACUGGUUGACUCUCUCUUGUUUGUGGGUCUCGCCCGGAGUUAACUCUUCGGAUGUGGAUCCCACAUCGUUUACCUUGAAAAAAUUAGAGUGUUCAAAGCAGGCGUUUGCUUGAAUAUAUUAGACAUGGAAUAAUGGAAUAGGAACUCGUUUCUAUUUUGUUGGUUUUCGGAAAUCGAGUUAAUGA